rnacentral:rRNA from 1 species
AUGAAGUUCAAUAGGGGUCGCCGCCGCCGUGAUUCGAAGAAAGCAGCUCGCAGUGAUGACAUGCUAGGCAAGCUGCCCAACGAUGACAUGCUAAGCAAGCUGCCCAAUGACGUGCUGCUCAACAUCCUCGAGAGGGUGGGCACGCUUGAUGCUGUCAAAACCUGCAUCCUCUCGAAGCAAAUGCAGAAGCUGCCCGGCAUGCUCUCCCAGAUUGUCAUCGAUCUCAGCCCUCGCGAUUUGGUGCGAAUGAACGGCGUUGUGGCCAACGUGACGGCAAACAUCCUUAGUAAAAGGUCUCCCCAGAUCACCGUUCGCAAGCUGAAGGUCAAAUUCUUCUUGAGUCCUCGCGGUCUCCCCAUCGGCAACGCUGUUGCGCUCGCUAUGGCGACUCAGAAACUAGAUGCCGCCGGGUUUGAAAUCUUGACACUGAGGGAUUCAUUUAAUUGCACAGGGGAACAUUUCCUGCUCUUCGCUAAGCAGUUCAAUGAUUUUCUAAAAGAUUGUCCAGAUGCAUUUGCUGGCCUCACACGGCUGCAACUGCAGAAUAUGAGGUUUGGUGAAUCGGACAUACCCAAUAUUCUUAGCACCUGCAAGCGGCUCCAGUCCCUGUCUUUCUUUGAGUGUGAUGCGGGGGUCCGUUCCGUGCUGCAUGUACAACACGCUCAACUUGUUGAGCUUGUUAUCACCUAUGGGGAGUUUAAAACAGUGGUGCUUGACUUUCUACCAAAGCUCCAGCAGAUGACCUACAAUAAUUGGCCUUGUGAUGAAAAUCCCUUGGUUCUUGGCACUGUCCCUCAGCUUUGGAAGCUCAGUCUUGCUAAUGCAAAUAUUUCAGGCAAGACCCUCAACCUAAGCAAGCUGCUUGCUAAUGCCCCCACUGUAAGCCAUCUGUAUCUGGAGUUUCGAAGUGAAAAGAUUUGGGUUCAACCAGAACGCUCAAAAGUGCUUGCUCCUGUGCUCGCCAAACUGCGGCUUGUGGAUUUGGACAAUCUUCCUGAAGAAUGUGAUGUUGCUUGGACAAUGUUCCUUCUUGAAGCUGCACCAUACCUAGAGGAGCUUUCCAUCGCAGUAUGGGAUCAUAAGUGCCAAAAGGAGUCACAAAAGAGUCACAUGAAAACGGAUGUGAAGUGGGAACCAUCUGAUCCUCAUUUUAAGCAGAAGAAUCUGGCAAGGCUAACUAUCUACGGCUUCCAGUCCGAUGACAAUUUCAUCGGAUACGUUAGACGCGUCAUUCAAGCUGCGGCGAACAUCAGGGAGGUAUCCCUGCACGCCAGGAAGGUGUGCCCAUUGUGUUUCGAAAAGUUUCCUCAGGCGGCGGUUCGUCCUUCGAGUUAUCCACGGACCAGCGAGGAGUUUGGUUUGUUGAGGGAGAAGAUGACAGCAGCGUCGGCUACGGCUUCUCCUAUUAUUCACUUCCGCUCAUUAGGUUGA